rnacentral:lncRNA from 1 species
AUCCACCGUUGUCAUAGCUAGAAUUCCCUAAUAGAGGUUCAUCGAGGGAAUCUACAUGGGAUAUGUCAACAUGUUCAUUCUUCCUUCCAUCGACAUCUGCAUGAUGGAGCCGCCGCCUCAGAUUGCUUGUUGACAUGAGGUCCUGUGCCAGAGAGAGUCAGAACAGCAGCAAGAAGACAGGACGAAAUCAACAUCUUAGCACCGUGCCAAGCCGCCGACGCAACAAUAUAGAGCAGUCAGCAGCUCAAGUGCAAUGCAACUAUUCAUUCGUAGAGUUGUUGUUUCUUAAUCACCAGAGUUAUGAUCUCGCAAGAGUAAUACUCGUACUAUAAAAUAGAGUUAUGGUUAUGUGAAGUAAAUAAAGACAAUGAAUUUUCACCUGUGGUGCAGAAAUAAUAAAUUUUCGAGUCCUGUGAGAUUUGAUUAGUGCUAAUAUUGGAACAGAAGCAAGCAACUAAGAUCAUCCCCAACAGAUAUCAAUCACAUGCACCUUAAUUUACCCUUCCACAAUGCAGCGCUCCCGAUAGGUUCCUACCCUCCCCACUAACUUGAAAACCCUAGCCCCUCUACGAUUUGACAAAACUCACCGAAGCAUGUUCGACUUCUUCUGGAUUUCACGAGUCGAGGAAAUUAGUAAGGCGGUAGGAAUAAUCGAGCUCACGUACCGAGGGGUCCUGGUCCUGGUUGGUUCCGGAGGUAUUCCGGGAUCCGGCGAUUGGGAAGCGGAUGAAUAAGGGAAGAAGAAGCUGCCUUCCGUCGCGGGGAGACUUCAGAGUGUGGAGGAGGGGAUUCUGACUCGAAGCUUUAAGAAGCAGGGAGGAGAGAGGGGGUUUGGACUUCGGAGGAGGAGGGGAAGACAGCUGGGGAAAGAGCUGCCGGAAGGAGGCUUGGAUCCGAAGGAAUGACUCGGCAGCUUCUCCUCUUUUCUUUUUCUUGACGCGGCUACUUUGCUGCUACGGUAGUACGGUACUACGGGGAAGACGCCCGUUGAGUUUGGGCCGGAUAGACCUUAAAGCUCUAAGUGGGCUAGAGGAUAAUUAUACUGGGCUCUUUAAAUGGGCUAGACAUGGAAUUGUCGACGUGACAAAUAAAGAAAAACCAAGUAAAAUUCUACAGGCCCAGAACUAACAGUGGCGCUGUAUCGGAGAACAGAACGACGCGUACGCGUACAGCAAAGCUCAACAGGUAAAUAUUACUUGUCCAGCAUUGUGUAAGAUGGCAGGUCCUUCACCGCCAGUACAUCCUCUAAAACUAGCUCACGCUCCAACUGAGUUCUCGUGGAUUUCAUCACCUCCUGGAGCAAACAAACAGUAUUGCAACUGAUUACAAAUAAAGAAGGAUGAAAAGGCGGGAUUGGUCUACGCAGCAUGCCAGAAAGCUUACAUUGAACUCCAUAUAAGAUGCACGUUUUACAAGCCACUGAGCAUCAAGCAUCCGGAAGGCUAUGCAGUACAGGUGAUCAAAUGCAUUCUCAUCUCGUCCUAGUAGUUCCAGGAAACGAAUUCCUGAUUUUGAAGAUGGAACUUCUGCACAAAUUGAGGAACACAAACCGAGAAUUAGGAACAAGACCAUUAUAGUGUAAAGACUUGGCGAAAUGGGGACUUACUUGAUUGUAGAUCCAACAUCUGUAUCAGCAUGAAUGAAAUGUUGAUACCAGCAACUGCAAAAGGGUACUCCCAGUCUGCUCUCUGCCCUUGUACUUUAUUCAGAAGCAUCUGAAAGGAACCCUGAGACAGAAAGAUGUGAUGAUUAACACAAAGUAAAACAAAGUAUGACCAACAGUUUUAUCAUACAUAAGUGUAACAGGUCUUUACAGGGUAGGUCCUAGCGAAAAAGAUGAGGUUCUCCAACGAUAUGAAUCCACCACCCCUGCAUGGAGGCUAUCUGUAUUAGAUGGCUUUAUCAACUGAGUAAACCACACCAGACAGAAGCAUAGCUUCACACUUAGAUAUUCAAGAAUAGAGAACCUGAAAUCAGUUGAUGGAUCAGUGCCUUGCCAACCCAUCUCCUUCCAUAGUUCUGAUUUUAGCGGAGGGAUCUCACGACUUGGGUAAGCUAACUUCCAAAGUUGUCUCAAGGCGUUCUAAUAAAAUGAUGCAGAUCAGUUGCUUUGCAUGCAUGAGGAGAUGUUUGUGGGGAAAGAAUUAAAACAAGUUGCGUACUUGGUGCUCAAUACGGGAGCCAUCAAAAGGAAUUUGCAACCUGCGUCUUAAAUUAUCCAAUCUUUCUUCCUGCAAAAUGAAGUUUCAGAACUUAAACCAAUUCUUGCAUGCCUAGUAUACAUCUUUCCUCUAUGCAUUACCUGCAAAGGACUAAGAUAUACUGGAUCACAUGUUUGGUUAUCUGACGUAAAGGGAAACAGUCUGCCCAAAAUUGACCCCGAGCUUACAAUAAUAUUGGCUGCAAAUAGAAUGGCAAAAGGGAGAAAAGAAUAUCAAUAUUAUUGGAAGAACUAAGAUUACAGUAGGAACAAAGUACACCAAUAUAAUCUAGGAAUUUAUCAGGAAAGCAAGCUCAGUAAGGAGUAAGGACUUCAAGGAAAACAUUGCUAUGAAUUAAUACAAUAAAGGAUCUGUCAUACCUUACCCAAUUAGAAACACUAGCUAAAUACCUCUGCUUUGCUUUGGAUAAAACAAUUAAACUACUCAUUAUUGAUAAAUUAGACUAAAAACUACUCCUUCCGAUCCAUAAUAAGUGUCGUUGAUUUAGUACUAUUAUAUACUCCCUCCGAUCCUAAAUUCGUGUCGCUGUUUUAAUUCAAACAAAUUUGAACUAAAACAACGACAAGAAUUUAGGAUCAGAGGGAGUAUUAGUGUUGACUGCUAAUAAUUUUAUCUAACUUCGGUGACAAACAUCAUUACCAUCUCAGUCUUUUGCAAUAUAAUUACUAUUUGCACUAGAAGCAGGCGGAAAGUUUCUUAUAGAGUACAAAGGAGGUGACAGACCACCGCCACCGAUUGACUUUUUUAUAUAAGUAAAGAUUGUUUCUCAUUUUGAUGACAAAUCUUCUGCUUAAUCUACUUUGCAGAGUGUUUUGCAGGAUUUCUGAAAAUGAUGACAAUAAUAAUGAAGAACAAGAGGACUACUAUGGUACUGUGAGCAGCUGCAUAAAUCCUUCCUUUACUUCUUUGCUAUCUCAGCAUUUGAAGCAGGUUGCGGAUUUGUAAAAAAAGAAGAAGAAAAAAACAGAACCAAGCCACGUGAAAUCGGUAGGUUAGAUACCCUGACAUGACAGCCAGUGGUUAUUCCAAAAGAGUGUGAGCUUGGAUAAGCCAGUAAUGCACACACGGGGAAUAUAUGUAUGAGUAUAGACAUUUGGCAUAUUAAAAUUGAAUAGGUAUCAGUGGGUAACAGGCUACCUAUUUAUACAAAGUACUUACUGAACCUAUAUUUAGCAAAGCCUAAUAUGCAACUCCCAUAACAGGUGCUGGAAAAUCUUACACUAAAUACACUAUAGAUAAUGUUAAGUGUGAACAGUACCAAACCACUGUGCCCAUUGCGCAAUCAAACUUGAGAAAAGAAAUGACCAGUGUAGUUGUUCCUUCUUUCUAUAUUCAUCCCACAAAUCUUGCCUUCUGGGGUCAUAUGCCUUCAGGAAGUAAGACGAUUUGUAAAAAUCUGCAUCCACUGUAAGAAUAGUUGAUGAAAUAUCAUCAGCAAAUACGAACCUCUGAUCCACCGUUGUCAUAGCUAGAAUUCCCUAAUAGAGGUUCAUCGAGGGAAUCUACAUGGGAUAUGUCAACAUGUUCAUUCUUCCUUCCAUCGACAUCUGCAUGAUGGAGCCGCCACCUCAGACUGUUUGUUGACAUGAGGUACUGUGCCAGAAAGAGUCAGAACAGCAGCAAGAAGACAGGACAAAAUCAACAUCUUAGUAGUGUGCCGAUGCAACAAUAUAGAUGUUCAGCACUCAGCAGCUC